ACGGGAGACACCUGCAAAUGGCAAAGGAGCCAGAGGAAUGGGAAAGACGAUGGAGAGGUGGCGGGUGGGGAGAAAGCAGAGAAACAGGCCUUCCUGAGAAAGAGGGGCUUCUUGCUGGGCCGUCUUUGGGGGAUCUUUUCAGAAAAGAGGCAGCAAGUGGAGCCAAAGAGAAACCCCCCCGGAACAUGGAUAUCUUCAACUUCCUGCCUUGCCCAAGGACUUGUUGGAGAAUGAAUGGAAAGCUACACCUCCCUUGAAGCCACAGAGGAUCCCACUCUGAAGUCUAGAUGUUGGAGCUGGAAGAGGACUUCAAAGUUGCAAUGCAGCUCUUCAUCCUACUGACACAAGAGGGGAAAUCAUGUGCCUGGAGUUACUUGGGGUGAUGUGGGUGGCCCAGGGGAGUGGCAGGAGGAGGUGAUGAGUGAACAGUUGAACUGCUUCAGUCUUGUGACAUUAAACAUCAAUUAUUUAUCUAGCCCUGUUGCCCACUCUCAGGAAGCUGUAACUUUUCCUACUGUGUUGGGGUCUCCAUGUCUUCUAUUAAAGUAUUCAGCCGGGAGUGGUGGUGCAUGCCUGUAAUCCCAGCACUCUGGAGACUGAGGCAGGAGGAUCACUGGGAGUUCGAGACCAGCCUGGGCUACAAAGUGAGCUCAAGGCCAGCCUGAACUGCACAGUGAGGCCCUGUCUCAAAAAGACAAAAGAAGUGUACCCAGAUAUGCUUUACCAUCCAAUAGUUGAUAUCC
rnacentral:lncRNA from 1 species